GCGGCGAGCGGACGGAAGCGGGCGCGCUGGGAGCAGAGCGGGCGCGGCGGCGAUCGCGUGCGCCACUUUCUUGCAAAGCUGGGUAAGCGCGCUGGGGCGCCCGGGUGGCCGGACACCCCGGCACGGCGCCCCUGAGCCCGCCCUGCGUGGGAAACCACUUCGGCAGUGGGAAGGCCUCGAAGGGGAAGUUUAUAUUAAGGAAAGAAAGAUUUGCAAAUGUGGCACGAAGUAGGGGUGGGAAGAGAAACGAGACAGAGGCCGAGAAACAGGAAAUGAGAGCGAAAGGACGCAUUCUAGCCAGGAAAAAGCCCAGUUCUACAUUUCGUGUGGCGGUUUUCCAAACACUUCUAGAGGCCCUGUGUGCGUUAUUCAUGAAAACAAAGGCAGCGCACUGCCUGGUUGUGUUCCAUGCCUCCUGCCUCCUCCUGUAUGUGAGGAUUAGGCAAGGUGGUCCGGCCCGGACGAUGAUUCCACAGCCCCCUUCUGAUUCUCCAGUGGGCCUGCGUCUGAGACACAUGAGAGGAGGGGGUCUGUCCCGGUCUUAGGAUUUCCAAGAGCCAAUAAGUGAAAGUGGCCGAAUAAUUGUGCCCGAGUCCUUGAGCGAAGUAUCCUUAGACUAGGAAAGCAUCGGGAGCAGGAAGGUGAUGGAAGACCACAUUCUUAGACGUGGAUGCGGCCAGGGAAUCAGGAACCCCCCAAAGGAAAAUGGAACCUGGGAGCUGAGGGGCGCUCCUUGGGGCGGGGUCUCUUCCGGGGAAAGCAGGCCAGGACCCCACACCCUAGCUUGAUCCUGAACUCUGGGUAAACAGCCCUUUACAUUCCUCUGCAUCUGGAUAAAGACAUCGUCAAAAGACAAGUUUGAAAACCAAUAGAACAUCAACAGACACACAGUAUUUAAACGGAAAAUUUGGCUCUACUAGAAAUAGUGUAAAGUUUUCCUCUAGGUGGGGCAGGGAGAGGAGGUGAGUUUAAGAGUGGAAGGAUGCUAUAAGAAAUUAUGUCAUCGUGGCACUCCUUGUACUAGCAGUUCUUGCUCUGUGAGGGCUGCACUGACCAUAAAUAUAUUCUCGAGCAAGUGCUUCUGCACUUGGAAACACAUUCCAUAACUGCAUUUCCUACCUACGGCUCCAGCUGUGGACAUGCUAAUAGAAUGAUGGAAGAUAGAAAAUAACAUAGAAGGAUCCACACCAGAGAGAUAAGAAAAAUACAGAUAGGUCAAGGUUAAUAUUUAGAAUAUAUGUAAUGUGGUUAAAAGAGGGAAGUAUACCAAGUAUUAGGGGGAAGAAAAAUAGCAGAUUUUGUUAAAUUGAAGUAAGAAAGAAUACAAAUGUUAAAUUAAGGCAACUCCCCAGAUAUAAAAAGGAAACAGUUUAAGAGGGAGGAUCACUUCAUUGUGGGCUGGGAGUGGAAGAAUGAAAGCAAUGAGAGAAUAAAGAAGCAGGAUAUUUUGGGAGUUAGAGUGCUGGAGACAAUUAUAUGUGAGUGUGUCUGUGUAUAGGCAUACAUUUCCAAUUCAUUUCAUGUCAUUCCAUCUCCUACAGAACUUGGAUUUAAACAAAGUGAAACCGUUAGUCGCUAAGUCAUGUCCGAAUCUUCAACUCCCCAGACUAGCCCACCAGCCUCCUUUGCCCAUGGAAUUAUCCAGGCGGAUUCUUUACUGUCUGAGCUACCAGGGAAGCCAAACUAAGGUGUAAAUAACAGAGGGAAGGUAAGAAACAGGUCCACAUACCCUGGCAAAAAUGUGUGCACAUCUUUGUCUUUAGUCCCUUCUUUAUUUCCAUGUGUAUUUGGGGAUGUGAAAAGUCAGAAAAUGUAAAGAUGACAAAAUUAUUUUGUCAAUGUAUAAUUCUGUCUGCAUGAAAGAAUGUGUUGAAAUUAUAGAAUCAAAUUUCAGUGUUGAAAGUAUAUGUAAAAUGCCAAUUCUUUAUGAUACUUAAUUCUGUUUAAAAC
ensembl:lncRNA